rnacentral:rRNA from 1 species
GAGUAACACGUGGACAAUCUCGCCCCCCGGCCCGGGAUAGCCCAAGGGAAACCUGGAUUAAUACCGGAUGAGACGGGACCCGCGAUGGCGGGAUCCGGGAAAGGCGCUGCGGCGCCGGCCGGGGGAUGAGUCUGCGUCCCAUUAGCUAGACGGCGGGGUAACGGCCCACCGUGGCGACGAUGGGUAGCCGGCCUGAGAGGGUGGACGGCCACAUUGGAACUGAGACACGGUCCAGACUCCUACGGGGAGGCAGCAGCUAAAGAAUCUUCCGCAAGUGGGACGAAAGCCUGACGGAGCGACGCCGCGUGAACGAAGAAGGCCGUGAGGUUAGUAAAGUUCGUUUCGGGAGGGGGAACAACCGUGGCAGGGAAUGGCCGCGGGAUGACGUGAAUCCCGGAAUAAGCCCCGGCUAACUACGUGCCAGCAGCAGC